CGGCAUCGUCAUCACCUUCUACACGCCGUCGUCUCUCUCUCUCUCUUUCUCUCUCUCCCGUCACUGCGCAACUCGACGAAACCCCAAGAACCUCCGGCGAGUUCUUCAUGGGUUAUGGUUAGGAUUUAGCACGGAAUCAGCCCGGGAAUAGGCGCACCCAUCUCCGGCGAGACCGUGGGUAUCGAGAGGUUUUCCGACCACCACGGGUCGUUUCACGGCAAAUGGAAGAGCCACAACCCACAAAGUCCUACACAAAUAGCAUGUUUUAGUUAUGGAGGCAGUUGUGGUGGAUAUGAUCUGAUCACUUGAAGAAAAUGACGAGUCUGCGGAUCUUUGUGGAUCUUCAUCUUUCACAUGGGAGGUUUUAUGACUACACCUACCAAAUUUAAUCACAACAGCGAACUUGAUAAUGAGACAUCAAUAAUUCAACGAUUCAGAAAACUUCAAUUAAAUUGGGACCCAUAAAUAAAUAUGUGGAAUUCCUAAUACUUCUUUUGUAAUCGAUCAAAGCUAGAUCAUUGAUGCCUAAUUCAGAAAGAGGAGUGUUAUUGGCACUUUAAAAGUCUCAUUGUACACUCUUCACAAGUGUAUUUUUCUUUCUUAAUAUAGAAAGUUUGGAGUGUAGAAUAAGAUUUUUGGAAUGCUACUAACAAUUCCCUUCAAAAAAA